AACGAACGCUGGCGGCACGCUUCAUACAUGCAAGUCGCGCGAUUAAGGCCCGCAAGGGCGCAUAAAGCGGCGAACGGGUGCGUAACACGUGGAUAAUCUGCCUUUCGGUGGGGGAUAACGGCUGGAAACGGCCGCUAAUACCGCAUGUGGUUGCGAGGUCUUCGGGCCUUGCAAAGAAAGAGGCCUUUAAAGCCUUGCCGAGAGAUGAGUCCGCGCCCCAUUAGCUAGUUGGCGGGAUAACAGCCCACCAAGGCUUCGAUGGGUAGCCGAGCUGAGAGGUUGAUCGGCCACACUGGGACUGAGACACGGCCCAGACACCUACGGGUGGCAGCAGUAGGGAAUAUUGGACAAUGGGGGAAACCCUGAUCCAGCGAUGCCGCGUGGAUGAUGAAGGCCUUCGGGUCGUAAAGUCCUUUUCUGAGGGAAGAACUGUCUGGCGAGGAAAUGCGCUGGAUUUGACGGUACCUCAGGAAUAAGCAACGGCUAACUCCGUG
rnacentral:rRNA from 1 species